CAAUGAGUUAUCAAUUGAUAUAAUUAAAUCAUUUUAUAAAUUAUUUCAUAAUAUUUUCACUCAUUUCUUCCUUUCAUAUUUUUAAAUUGACAUUAGUUGUCAUCCAGGAGAAACUGAUAAUAAAUAUUUAACUUAUACUCAAAUAAAAGUUAGUUAGCAUCAUAGCCCUAUAUUAUUUAAAUCUAUUUAUAUCUUAUGAAAGUCACCGUUUCUGCCCUAUAAGCUGUACAUUCAUGAUUGGCUGUCUUCUACUUCAAAAGUACAGUCAGGGCCAAGUCGUUAGGUUACUCGGCCCCCAGCUCGUACCUGCUUCAGUGGUGAAUCAGCCAACCUUUUCUGAAUGAAGCAGACAUUUGCUGUUACAGAAUAUGAUUAACUAUGAAAGUAUUAGAAAUGUGAACUGAGUUUCCUUCACUAUACUAAAGUACUUCAUUUAAUUUAAAGGAUUAUGCUGAACGUUUUCAAAUCAAACUAAGGGACGUCUUUUAAAAGUGUCUGACUCUGUUAGUUUUGUUUUGUUUUUUGCUUUUCUGGAGUUUUGCAGUAUUGGAGAUCCAACCUAAGGCCUUGCAUACUAGAAUACUUUAGUGAUCAUAUUUUUUUUUUAUUUGGAGGCAUCUCUCUUUUUAGCCUCGGCUGGCCCAGAACUUCCUCAGCUCCUCCUGCCUCCGCCUCCUGAGUACCAGGGUUAGAGGUGUAGAGGUGUGCUCUACCACUCUCGGCUAAGACUGAGCUUAGUGAAGCCUUUCCUGCCCAGGCGUGAUCGCACUUUCUCUUUCUCGUCUGCGUUGAUGAUCAGGCAGCAGAAUCAGAACAUUAUUGUCAAUUUCCAAACAAGUCACGGGGUCGUUACUGUAACUCAGUACAGAAGAGCAAAUGGUAGGAGUUCAUUCUUUUGUUUUCUCGGGAGCCUAAUUGAAUAUGUAUUCUACAAAGACUCAUUAGUCACGGAUAAUUUCAGUAUGUUCUAAGUGACAUCUUAUUAUAAAUGUAGAAAAUGGCUGUACACAGAUGCCAAUCAGAGACCUGGCACUUAACUUUCAUAACAAUUUACUUGUUUUCUUUUUUCCCAUAGAUUUAGUUAUUUGCAAUUAAGAUGUACUAAAAUAUCAUUGUCAUUCCUAAUUUUGGCAUUUAUGGAUUCUAUAAUUCAUAAUAAUUUGUACUGUGAAGAAUAACUUCCAGGUUUGUUGCAGUUCUCUCAUUGUUAGGUUGCCAGCCGUUUAUAACGUCCCUCCUUUGUUCUGUAAGAGAUUCCCCCUCUGGCUGACAAUUCAGUCGAGAGUUCUGAGGAUAUAUUCCUCAUCAUCGUAAUCUAGAAACGAUGUCCACUUUGGGCUCUGCAUUCCUCGCCUCAACUCAGAUUUAACAAAACUGUGUUCAAGUAUUUCCCUCCUGCUUACAAAAGUUUGCCCGUCUUGAGUCUGGUGAGUUUCCCCACUGUUUUGCUGAGGAAAAUGACUUGUUAGAGACUUCAGUUAAAAAUGUAAGUAAAGUCACAAAAACGAACUUGUGAGAAACCAUCAGAAGGUAGGGUUUUUUGCUUGUUUGUUUGUUUGUUUUAAUCCUACAUUUCCUUUUGGUUUAUUUUGAUUUUAUGACUGCCAACUUGUUAUAUAUGAGUGUUUAUAUAUGCAUAUAAUAUAUGUAUAUGAAAAAGUGAAGAUUUGGUCAAACUAUAUUUUCCCAUUCAAGUACAAAAAAUGUUUUCAAGGCUGCAAAAAGUGUACAGUUGUUAAACAAGUUGUAAAUAAAGACUUGUAUAAAAAUCC
rnacentral:lncRNA from 1 species